CCGCAUUGUCUUCAAGGAACACAUCUAAAGCAACUACUGGUGUUUCUAUAGAACAUUUUUCAUUGAAGAGUCGGAAAUCUUAUAGUAAUGGAGAAAUUUCUCGAACAAAUGAUUUGGAUGACGGAUCAUCUUCUAGAGUUGCAAACUCCAUUGUUGAAGUCUUUUAUGCAGGUUAGCAGCAGAUUUGGAGAGAACACAUUGAAACUGGGAUCCAUCCUGACUGAUGGUCAAAGUGGGCAUAUUCAAGGACAGUUCAGCCGCUGCCUUAUCGGCAUUCAGUGAUGUUUUACCUGUGCAGGCCCUUGUUUCAUCCUUCACUGCAACCCAACAGAUGCUUGAAUGAGAAUUAUUUACACUAUGCCAGUUGAUAUUUACAUCGGAAGCCAUGACAGGUAAAACGUGAGGCUUUUUCACACUUUGGCUUCCGGGUUUUUUAAGUUUCACCUGAGAUUCUGGGGUACUUCCGGAUUAGUGGUGUGGCCCAAAAGCUGUAUUUAUAGGACAACAGAAUGAAAAAGAGAAUACCUUUUGGAUUGAGAGUGAGGGGCAAGAGCUGGUGUUGGUUAAGCAAGAUCGAGAAAGGCUUCGUAUUUGUUGCGGUUUGCUAAAGGAAUAAGUGAGCUGGUUCAGCAUUUUUUAUUACAUACCUUUAUUAGCUGUAGACAUUUGCAAAGCAUAAAAUGGAUGUUAUACUAUCAUAGGAGAUGGCGGCAGUGUCGAGGGAAGUUCGUUUCGUAAAAAGAAGACUUCCAAGUGAGGCGUAUGCUUGGACAGAAAGCUAUGAGACGCCCCCAUCAUGUGCCGAUCACUUGAUCCUAUCAUUCAAAUUUUGUAUCCCAUGCAUUAUUUCAAUUCCGUAGACGAGAUUAUGUUACAACAAUGUAUAAUUUUGGCUUCCUGGAUGACUGGAUCUUUUUCCUUACUACCUUGUGCUCUUUUUUCAUUUUGUGUAGCUUAAUGCAUUUUCAUUACAUUGUAAAAGCUUUGAUGUAACGUAUCUUGAACUCAACCUAAGCCAUCCAUUGCUUUAAAUUCAGUAGACUGGACUUCCUAUUGAA